UAAAUAUUAAAUUGUUUUACGAACUUAUUUGUUUAUAAUUUGGUAACAGAUAGAUAUUUGAGUAUUCAGUAUAUUUUGCUUCAGUUUAGGAAAUCUUUGAUGACCCGUCUUUAGAUCCAAUAAGCCCUAUAAUCUAGAUAUUAACCUGUAGUAUAACGCAGGUAGGCUAAUAUUUUAGUUAAACUAAAAACUUUUAUUGUAAAGAUGAUUUAAAAAUAUAUGAUAUUAUUUUAUUUGAUUUUAAAUGUAUAGUAAACUGUGAGUUGUAUAUGUUUUGUUGAUAUUAUCUAUAUUGUUUAGUGUUUAAGAUUAUACACUUGUAGUUUGAUUGUUAAUUUAAGAGUUUCACCUGUAGUAUACCAUCUUGUAUUAAUAUCGAUCUAAACCCGUCAAUUCUAGGAUUUUCCAGCUUGUAUUAAAAAAUGAAUCACAUCAUACACAUAAAAAAUCUAAUAUGUUAUUAAUUAUUAUAGUAUAUAAGAUUAUAAAUUUUCAAUAUAAUAUGUAUGAAAUUAAAUAUAAAUAUUUCAAAUUAUGACCCGUUACUCAGUAGAAAGUUUUCUUAAAUCUAUUUUUCACCCGUUAUAAUAUUUUUUCAUGUAUUGAACAAUUUAUAUUCGUUUUUAAAAAUUCUAAUUAUGGCAUAUGCGAAAAAAUUCUAAUUAUUUUUUUAUAAUGAUGAUAUUAUUUUUUCGCAAAAAUAGAAUCAUAUAAAGAUGAGAAGUGAAUUAUAAUAAUUAAUAAAAAAUUAAUA
rnacentral:sRNA from 1 species